rnacentral:rRNA from 1 species
GAUGAACGUUGGCGGUGCGUCUAAUACAUGCAAGUCGAGCGAGGCUUCGAGCCGAGCGGCGGACGGCUGAGUAACACGUUAGUAACUGCCCUAAGCUCAGGGAUAACACCGAGAAAUUGGUGCUAAUACCGGAUAGUCCCGUAAGGGUAAAGAUUUUUCGGCUUAGGAGGUGCUUGCGGCCUAUCAGCUUGUUGGUGAGGUAAAAGCUCACCAAGGCUAUGACGGGUAACUGGUCUGAGAGGAUGAUCAGUCAGAGGGAAACUGAGACACGGUUCCCACUCCUACGGGAGGCAGCAGUAAAGAAUCUUCCACAAUGGGCGAAAGCCUGAUGGAGCGACACCGCGUGCGGGAUGAAGGCCUUCGGGUCGUAAACCGCUUUUCUGAGGGAAUAAUUAUGAAGGUACCUUAGGAAUAAGCACCGGCUAACUCCGUGCCAGCCGCCGCGGUAAU